UGCUAGUAGGCGACGAGUGGCGGACGGGUGAGUAACGCGUAGGAAUCUACCUAGUAGUGGGGGAUAGCCAAGGGAAACUUUGGGUAAUACCGCAUACGAUCUAAGGAUGAAAGGGGGCCUCUCUUUGAAGCUCUCGCUAUUAGAUGAGCCUGCGUAAGAUUAGCUUGUUGGUGGGGUAAUGGCUCACCAAGGCGACGAUCUUUAACUGGUCUGAGAGGAUGAUCAGUCACACUGGAACUGAGACACGGUCCAGACUCCUACGGGAGGCAGCAGUCGGGAAUAUUGGACAAUGGGGGAAACCCUGAUCCAGCCAUGCCGCGUGUGUGAAGAAGGCUCUAGGGUUGUAAAGCACUUUUAGUAGGGAGGAAGGCUCGAUGGUUAAUACCCAUCGGGAUUGACGUUACCUACAGAAAAAGCACCGGCUAAUUUCGUGCCAGCAGCCGCGGUAAUACGAAAGGUGCAAGCGUUAAUCGGAAUUACUGGGCGUAAAGCGCGCGUAGGCGGCUUAGUAAGUUAGAUGUGAAAGCCCCGGGCUCAACCUGGGAACUGCAUCUAAAACUGCUAGGCUAGAGUAUGGUAGAGGAUGGCGGAAUUUCCUGUGUAGCGGUGAAAUGCGUAGAUAUAGGAAGGAACAUCAGUGGCGAAGGCGGCCAUCUGGACCAAUACUGACGCUGAGGUGCGAAAGCGUGGGGAGCAAACA
rnacentral:rRNA from 1 species